CCAAUAGCGUAUAUUAAAGUUGUUGCAGUUAAAAAGCUCGUAGUUGAAUUUCGGGAUCAAUAUGUCGGUCGUGCCUUCGGUACGUACUGGCAUCAUUGGUUUCUCCCUUCUGACAAACCAUGAUGUCAUUAAUUUGGUGUUAUGGGGAGUUAGGACUGUUACUUUGAAAAAAUUAGAGUGUUUAAAGCAAGCUAACGCUUGAAUACAUUAGCAUGGAAUAAUGAAAUAGGACGUUCGAUCCUAUUUUGUUGGUUUCUAGGAUUGACGUAAUGAUUAAUAGGGAUAGUUGGGGGCAUUAGUAUUCAAUUGUCAGAGGUGAAAUUCUUGGAUUUAUUGAAGACUAACUACUGCGAAAGCAUUUGCCAAGGAUGUUUUCAUUAAUCAAGAACGAAAGUUAGGGGAUCGAAGACGAUCAGAUACCGUCGUAGUCUUAACCAUAAACUAUGCCGACUAGGGAUCGGAUGAUGUUAAUUUUUUAAUGACUCAUUCGGCGCCUUACG
rnacentral:rRNA from 1 species